rnacentral:misc_RNA from 1 species
GAAAUGCGAUAAGUAAUGUGAAUUGCAGAAUUCAGUGAAUCAUCGAAUCUUUGAACGCACCUUGCGCUCCUUGGUAUUCCUUGGAGCAUGCCUGUUUGAGUAUCAUGAAAUCUUCAAAGUAAAUCUUUUGUUAACUCAAUUGGUUUCUAUUUGGUAUUGGAGGUCUUUGCAGCUUCACACCUGCUCCUCUUUGUUCAUUAGCUGGAUCUCAGUGUUAUGCUUGGUUCCACUCGGCGUGAUAAGUUAUCUAUCGCUGAGGACACUGUAAAAGGUGGCCAAGGUAAAUGCAGAUGAACCGCUUCUAAUAGUCCAUUGACUUGGACAAUACUUUUAUGAUCUGAUCUCAAAUCAGGUAGGACUACCCGCUGAACUUAAGC